rnacentral:rRNA from 1 species
UACGAAGGGGGCUAGCGUUGCUCGGAAUCACUGGGCGUAAAGGGUGCGUAGGCGGGGCUUUAAGUCAGGGGUGAAAUCCUGGAGCUCAACUCCAGAACUGCCUUUGAUACUGAGGAUCUUGAGUUCGGGAGAGGUGAGUGGAACUGCGAGUGUAGAGGUGAAAUUCGUAGAUAUUCGCGAGAACACCAGUGGCGAAGGCGGCUCACUGGCCCGAUACUGACGCUGAGGCACGAAAGCGUGGGGAGCAAACAGG